GCCUGGUGAAGGGUAUGUGACACAAUUUGUGGGGAAAUACACAAACAGUAAGACAAGUUUACCACAAGGUUAAGAUUUUGCAAAAUGGAGUUUGCAGAUAAAACGGAAAUGAAGUUUUAUUUGGGGUUUUGAGUAAGGAUAAAUGUGAUGAUGUGAUGGCGUUUGAGCUGAUAACAGUGCUUCUGUGUCCCUCCUGCAGUUUGACUUUACAAUUUGUGGACAUUAAACGGCUGGAGCGUCUGACGGUAAUCAGCACUUUCCAUUCUUUCAUCAAACACUGGGUGACAAGCCAGUAAUAGGAAGUUGCUGUGCUUUAUGUUUGUGUCAGUUUUAGUUGUUGUUAUAUUGAGAGAGAGAAAAACUUUAACUCAAACCGUAAUGAUGUUAGACUUAAUAGGAAUGUCAUCACCAAUCCAAAUUAUUUGACUGCUUAUCCAAAACUCUUUUCUAUGACUGAAGUGAAUUCAUGUUAAAUUCUUGAGAUUUUGGUUUUUGUGUGCCAUGUUUCCUUUCUAAAAACUGCUGCUCUGGUUCUGAUUCAUCUGGUCUCUGUUUAUAUUCUUAACUAGGUCUUUCAGUCAGAACAACUUCUGUUCAAUCAACAGGACUUGUUUAUACUGUGAAAUUAUAUUUUCGUAAUUUGGGAGUACAUUUUAAAUACUGUGAUUCUGAUAUCAGUCAAAAACAUUUAAUACCAACCAUUUGAACACCUACCAAAUAAUGUCAAGUGAAAUCUGAAGGAAAUUUGGUCCUAUUGAAUGUAUUGUUCAGCUUGUAGUUUCUUUUUUGUAUUUAGACUGAUGUAGUGUUGCUUUUAUUUCGGCAAUAUAGGCUCCACUGAAUACAUUUUCUGUUAAAUCUUGCAUGGAUUUGAUUAAAAAAAUGUUGUAAAACUUAAACAAUGUAAAUCUAAAUGCUCUUUUUUGUGUGGUUUUAGCCUCAAAUAUUCAAGUAUCAGCUGCCACAGUGGUUGAGUCACCAACAACUGGGAUCUCUGGGAAGGUAUGACAAAAAGUGGAUGAGAUGUGCCAAGACAGUCAACAAAAAGUUAUUUUAAAUUUGCAAUAGAUUAUGUAAUUAUUUGCUAUUAGACUAAUGAAACUACUUCCAUGUCCUUUGCCAUAGUUUGCAUCUACCAAAUGUGGACAUAACAAAACUAGAGAAACUGGGGCAUCUGAAGGUAUUUGACUUUUUUCUGUCUGUCUGUCUUUUUUUUUUUUAACCAAUGAAAAUUAUUUUUCUAAUGAAUGGUGUACCUGGUUUAUUUUAUUUUUUUUAGUGACCAAAUUGAAUUAAUACUGUUUCAAAUUAUUUAUAUUUGAACUCAAAAAAGUUUCUUAAUCCAAUAAUAUUAAUAGAGCAAAAUUAUUUCUAGGGUAAGCAUGUGCUGCUUACCCUGUCCAAAUUUAUCUUCCAUUCAUCUGACCCAGAAAAGUUUGUGGUUUCAUCUGGUGUCCAGUCGAUGAUCCGAAGUAUUAUUAUUUUUUACAAUUAUAACAAUAACUACUUUGGCUUGUUUUCACAUGAUAAAUCUGAAUAGGUUAACUUUAAAUAAUAUUUUCCAUUUUUAUUAAAUACAUGGAAUUUAAAUUGGAUGGUUUACAUUCACUUGAGCUUAUUACCCAUGGUGUUUUCAGACGUCAGAUGUCUGAACGGUUUGUCUUUUUGUUCUCAGACUCCUGUCUCUGAGUCUGAGGUGUGGGCUUUGCUGACAGGUCCGGAGAAGAAGCCAGCUGAAGGGUAAGAAAUCAUUUUUGAGGGUAAAUGGACUAACUGUAGGGCAGAAGUGGUAGAUGUUACCAUGAGAUGAAGAUUGAGCAAAUGCCUCCCAAAGGGUUUACAGAUUAAAACUAUAUGUGGUUUGGGUUCCACGGUAACGGUAGGUGUGAAAUUCAAUUUAAUGAAAUAAUUAUUUUUUGCUUUAGUUUCAGUGUACCAGAGUACACAAUAACCCUAAUCCUAACAUCCAUGUUUUUCAGUUUGCUGCAUUUACCAGAUGAGGACACAACACAACUGGGGCACCUGAAGGUUAUUAACUGUUUUGUCUAUCACAAUCAUUUUCAUGAUCAGAAACUAUGUUUUGGAUAGUUUAAAUUCUCCUACAGGCACGUGGCUUCAGGUGCCAGAUAAACCAGUUUAUCAGUCUGAAUGGUUUGUUUAUGUGGUUUCAGUCUCCUGUCCGGCCUCUUGGCCAUAAAUUGGGGGCCUCACCAACUGUUAAAGAGAAG